GGGGAUGUAGCUCAGUGGUAGAGCGCAUGCUUUGCAUGCAUGCGGUCCUGGGCUCGAUCCCCAGCAUCUCCA